UACGUAGGGGGCCAGCGUUGUUCGGAAUUACUGGGUGUAAAGGGUUCGUAGGCGGUGCGGCAAGUUGGGAGUGAAAUCUCUGGGCUCAACCCAGAGACGGCUUCCAAAACUGCUGUGCUUGAGUGUGGGAGAGGCUCGUGGAAUUGCAGGUGUAGCGGUGAAAUGCGUAGAUAUCUGCAGGAACACCCGUGGCGAAAGCGGCGAGCUGGAACACUACUGACGCUGAAGAACGAAAGCUAGGGGAGCAAACAGG
rnacentral:rRNA from 1 species